AUAGUUAUAUAUUGUUAUACAUUUUCAUGUUAUGUAAAACUUCUUUAACAUAGAUAGAUUUAUGUAACAUAGACACCCGAAAAUUGCGAUAUAGGUUGACAUCUAUUUCAAAUGAUAUCAAAAAUUAACUUUGAAUAUGGGUGUAUGUAAAAACACUGGCAACCAGCUUGUAUGCCAAUAUAUAAAAGUCUCAUUGACCCAUGUUUCAGUGUAUGCUGAUGUAGCUUCUAAAAUGUGAGAGGGCAAGGAAAUUAGACGUUACAGUACUUUUCACAAACUAAUCUGGCUUUAGUCUAUAUACUACAAGAAGUAAUAAGAAAAAUCAAUUUCAGAAGAUUACCAAUUCUUUCUUCCUGGCAUCUUUCAAAAACUCUUAAAAGUGAAUUUGGCAUUGACAGAUACUAAAUGGCGAUAAUUAUGUUAUAUCAGCAAAACGAAAAAUGAACAGUUUUAGUCUUCAACGGUUGAAAUUACUCAGCAAACAUGAAUUCAUUGAAGAAACUGAUUGUCGUUGCUCUAGCAUAAAGAUCGUUUCACGAUCGACCUGAUAAAAGAUGAAAUUACUUAUAUAUGUGAUUAAUUAAAAAAAGACAAUUAGUUUGUAAAUAAUCAGGUGAAUGGUAGCCUUUAUUAUAUGGCUGGUUGUGUUCAGCACAGGAUGUUGUGCAUAGUUAAUGUAACAAUAUCAGUUUUUCAGUUCCAAAAUUAAAAAUUAUGUUUCACAUA
rnacentral:lncRNA from 1 species